AGUGUGGCUCAAGGGUAGAGCACCUGUCUAAUAUGACAUACAUGUGGCCCUGGGUUCUAUCCCAGCACU
rnacentral:tRNA from 1 species